rnacentral:lncRNA from 1 species
AUCCUGAUCAGGUGGUGGGAAGGGGGGUGCUGGCUGCAGCCCCCCCCGCUUCGAGAUGGGGACACAGGUGGGCUUCUCGGAGCUCCAGUGUUGUGUCAGCCUGGGGUGUUGUGGCUUUGGCAAGGCUGUGGAACUGAGGCUGAUCCCUGGAGUGCUUGGCAGGGACGUGCUGGGGCUUCAGCAUCACCACCAGCACAGCCACCAGCACCACCAGCACAGCCACCAGCACCACCAGCACUGCCACCAGCACCAUCAGCACCACCACCAGCACCAAAACCACCACCACCAUCAUCACCACCACCAUCAGCAGCACUGACACCAGCACCACCAGCACCAAAAACACAACCACCAGCACCACCAUCACCGGUACCACCACCAUCAGCACCACCAGCACCACCAGCACCACCAGUACCAGCACCAGCAGCACCAGUAGCACCACCAACACCACCACCAGCACCCCUCUCCCAGCGCACAGCCCCCAGCAGCGGUCACGGUGCCUCAGCAUCCCCCGUGCGCCCCCCGCGCAUCCCCCCGCCGGUUUCCCCCCUCCUCUUUUUCAUCCCCCCCCCCCGGUGUUGCCGCAGCAACCGCGGCCGGGAGGCGGCGCCGAGCCCGGGGACGGCUGCGGGGGGCGGCGGGGCCGGCAGGGGGCAGCACCGGCACGGGGCUGGGGAGGGCUGGGGGCGGGCAGGGUGCAGGAUGGGUGCAGGAUGGGUGCAAGCUGGGUGCAAGCAGGAUGCAGGCAGGGGGCAGGCUGAAUGCAGGCAGGGUGCAGGAAGCAUUCAGGUUGGGUGCAAGCAGGAUGCAGGCUGGGUGCAGGCAGGGUGCAAGCAGAGUGCAAGCAAAAUGCAGGCUGGGUGCAAGGAAAAUGCAGGCUGGGUGCAAGCAAAAUGCAGGCUGAGUGCAAGGAAAAUGCAGGCUGGGUGCGAGGAACAUCCAGGCAGGGUGCAGGCUGAAUGCAGGCUUGGCACAAUCAGGAUACAGGCUGGGUGCAAUCAGGACACAGGCUGGGUGCAAGGAAAACGCAGGCUGGGUGCAAGCAGAAUGCAGGCAGGGUGCAGGCAGCAUGAGCACUGGGUGCAGGUGGGAUACAGGCUAGGUGCAGGAAGAAUGCAGGUUGGUUGCAGGCUGGAUACAGGCUGGGUUUAUGCCCAGAGAGGCUGUGGAGUCUCCUUCUCUGGAGGUAUUCAAAAGCUGCCUGGGUGCCAUCCUUUGCAGUGUGCUCUAGGUGAUCCUGCUCUGUUGGGGGGUUGGACUGAAUGA